UACGAGGGGGGCGAGCGUUGUUCGGAAUUAUUGGGCGUAAAGGGUGCGUAGGCGGUUUGGUAAGUCUGAUGUGAAAUCCCGGGGCUCAACUCCGGAACUGCAUUGGAUACUGCUUCGCUUGAGUACUGGAGAGGAGACUGGAAUUUACGGUGUAGCAGUGAAAUGCGUAGAGAUCGUAAGGAAGACCAGUGGCGAAGGCGAGUCUCUGGACAGUUACUGACACUGAGGCACGAAGGCCAGGGGAGCAAACGGG
rnacentral:rRNA from 1 species